UGGAUUAGGCAUGCAAGUCGAACGCGAAAGGGGGCAACUCCAAGUAGCGUGGCGAAAGGGGCAGUAAUGCAUGGGUAACCUACCCUCGGGACCGGGAUAUACGGUGGAAACGCCGGGUAAUACUGGACGCCGUCUCGAAAGGACAUCCUUUUGAGAUGAAAUGGUUUUCCGCCCGGGGAGGGGCUCAUGUCCUAUCAGCUAGUUGGUGAGGUGACGGCUUACCAAGGCUACGACGGGUAGGGGGUGUGAGAGCACGACCCCCGCCACUGGCACUGAGACACUGGCCAGACUCCUACGGGAGGCUGCAGUCGAGAAUCUUCGGCAAUGGGCGCAAGCCUGACCGAGCGACGCCGCGUGGUGGAUGAAGGCCUUCGGGUUGUAAACACC
rnacentral:rRNA from 1 species